CAUUUCUUCUUCUCUCUUCUCUCUCAUCAAACCCUUAAAAUGUCUGGAAAAAAGCCACAAGACCCCACCACACUUAAACCCUUGGCCGACGACGAGAAGUGCCAGCCCUUCAACCACCGUCUCUGUAACUGUGGUUGCGGCAGCUGUCAUCGUGAUCAAGGAAAGUUUAUAAUGUGUACUCGGGAUGCAUAAGAACACUUGAUGACUGCUUCUUGCAACCGGAGGAGAGCCUUGAAUGCAAUUCAAGGCCUGUUAUUCCUCUAAACUGCCCACCUGCUAUGCGAGUUUUAAUUGAACAAUGUUGGCCCUUGAAUCCAGACAAAAGGCCUGAGUUCUGGCAGGUUGUUAAGGUAUAAACAUACUGCACUGAAUCAAUAUUCUUGAGCAAUUAGUGUCAUCACAAACUAAUGGGGACCUGUUUAUGGUCAGAGUGAUCCAUACGUGUGUGGAGAACACGAUCUUUACGCUGUUGAUUUUAAGAAACCAGUUGAAAGGUAUCAUAUCCUAUUUAAUAGCUAUAACAAUGCUGCUAUGUCCUGUGAUAUGGUCUGUUUUCAAAUAGUAGGAUGUAAGCAUAAUUUAAUGACAUCCUCUUUCAGUAAGUAUUUCAUUGAUCUUCAUUAGAUAUCAUUUGAUUGGGUACCAUUUGCAAAACUACAUAGGCAUGCUUAUUGUUGGCUUGCAUUGCAUUUUGCAUAGUUACUUUUCUAAAGGAUUGUGUGUGGUGUUAAUAUGAUUGGAGGCAUGCUUAAUAUUCUAAAGAUAAUGUGUCUUAAUAUGAUUGGAGAUGUAAUUUUGUUUCUUGGAAACUAUGCGUCAGCUUGUCAAGUUCAGUGUUUGCAUUUCUCAGUUAGACACGCACAAGUACAGUUCUGGCCAUAACAAGACCUCAUCUCCACUCUUCCCUAUUUGUGGUAUCGAUGAAGUGCUGUCCAAUUCAAGACCUAUAAACAAAUCUCACUCUCAUGUUGUUUCUCCUGCUAUUGCUGUGAAUCUCGUGACUUUUAUCAGAACCAUCAAGUAAUACGGGAAGAUUUUCACCUAUAGCCAUUUUUUAGAUUCUUUCUGAAAUUCUAUUAUGUAUGUAUAUUUGUUUAAAUUAAUAGGACUUUUUAAUUUUGUUAUAUGAAAAGUAAUAUUACUUC